CCCGCUGAACUUAAGCAUAUCACUAAGCGGAGGAAAAGAAAUUAACUAAGAUUGCCUCAGUAACGGCGAGUGAAGCGGCAAGAGCCCAAGCUGGAAAUCUUCACACUGCGUGUGACGAAUUGUAAUCUAAAGAGGGUUCGCUCAACGGGCGGUGGCGCAGAAGUGCCUUAGAACGGGCCGCCAGAGAGGGUGACAGCCCCGUAUGUGGUGCCACUGCUUAACGAGCGUGCUUUCGAAGAGUCGGGUUGUUUUGUAUUGCAGCCCUAAGUGGGAGAUAAACUUCUUCUAAGGCUAAAUACCUAUGGGAAACCGAUAGCGAACAAGUACUGUGAAGGAAAGAUGAAAAGAACUUUGAAAAGAGAGUCAAAAGACUUGAAAUCGUUGAGAAGGAAGCGGUAGAAAUUUAUUCUUCGGCGGUGAACGGUGACUUCUGCCUAUCCAUUGCCGGCUGCCAGCACUUCAUAAGGCUGCGGCUGGCACAUGGGGAAGCGGCUGGCUUGUUCUCCGUCGUGAGGCAAAAUGAGGUCGCACAUCCGCAGAGGCGCCCCAAACCUGGCCCGAUUCGUCGGGUAGUUUGGGGUCCGCCGGUGGGCGUGCGGCCUGAGGGUGCUUCGUGCGAUUUUGCCAAAAUGGUUUUUACCGACCCGUCUUGAAACACGG
rnacentral:rRNA from 1 species